AACGCACAUUGCGCCCCUCGGUAUUCCGGGGGGCAUGCCUGUUCGAGCGUCAUUGCACCCCUCAAGCGUAGCUUGGUAUUGGGCUCUCGCCUCCCCCGGCGUGCCCGAAAAGUAUAGGCGGUCCGGCGUGGCUUCAAGCGUAGUAAAAUUAUUCCCGCUUUGAAAGUCUCCACGUCUGACCCGCCAGACAACCCCAAUUAUUCAAUGAAUUGACCUCGGAUCAGGUAGGGAUACCCGCUGAACUUAA
rnacentral:misc_RNA from 1 species